rnacentral:rRNA from 1 species
AUAACAAUACAGGACUCUUUCGAGGCCCUGUAAUUGGAAUGAGUACACUUUAAAUCCUUUAUCGAGGAUCUGUUGGAGGGCAAGUCUGUUGCAAAGCGACUGACCCAUACGUGCUGUAGCUGAAACUCCACUAUCUCCUGCUGCUGCUCACACAGUCUCUCCAG